ACACUGCUGAAGAGUCCUGUAAUAGGACGAAACAGACAUCCAGUGU
rnacentral:hammerhead_ribozyme from 1 species